GCUGACCUUGAAGGACCGCUGUUUCGGCUCAGGCAAGAGGGAAAAGGGGCAGUCCCCAGCUGGUUUGCGGAAAAAUCCCCAUUGUUGGUGGAUUUGGCCUCACGGGCCACCUGGAGCAUCAAGGCAGGAGUGCUGAGGGGAGCAGGAGACCUGCCUUUCCUUCCACCCUGUUGGAUGUCCACGCAGGGACAACGAAACCAGGAGCUGAACAGGGUGACAUCUUCCUUCUUGAAGUUGGUGUCAGAUCGUACUGGUGUAAAUGCGAGCCAGAACCUUCUCCCAGAUAUUUUAAAGUCAGUUUUGUAAUUCCCAGCGGGGCAGGGUUUCUGGUGCAGGGCAAUUCCAAGUGCACGUGCUGAGCAUCUGCCCAUCAUUUUGUAUUCUUUCCUCUCUGUUUUCUGAAGGUUGGCAAUACACCCAGCAUGCUGGGAGCGAUAACGUAGCUCGGUAAGAGUGAGCAGUUGAAAACUGCUGGCCUUAGUGGCUCCUGUGGUAAUUCUUUGUUUCUAUCAGUUUUGCCGCCGCAGAGGACGCAGAUGUUGAACGGGCGACUGCACUGGGGCCAAAGAGUCAUGGAGGUGUGAGGAGAGGCGAGGUGUGUGCGGUUCUGCGCUAAUAACCGGGACUGGUGUCAGCGGCGUGCGGAGGACGGAGUACCAGAGGCAUCCUGGUCUGGCUUUGGUGUGUCGGGGCAUCGAGGCCGAAAUGCCUGAGCAGAGCCAGAUGAAGCGAUGGGGAGGAGUAGAACCUCAGAGCCACCAAACCUGUGGUAAGAUUUGAAGACCUGCCUGCACGCAAACGCCACCAGCAAAGGCGCCUGCUAACAAGGCAAAGCUAAGGCAACAACCCGUUCUGGGAGAAGGUUUCUGGCUUUGCUGGAAUAUUGGAGAUGAAGGUCUGAUCCUGCGUCCAUCCAAGUCCACAAGAGUUUCUCCACUGACUUUAGAGGCAUCUCUGAACAAUUUGACAACAUUUUCCCCAUCUUAAAUAAGUAUCUCACACGGAGAGCACUGCAUUCCCCUGACCUGUCUCCCAGGCGGGCUGUCUGCCCUUCCGCUAAUUGCAGCAGGAGUUACCGUCCUGAAGUUAAAAUGCCGUUACUGUUUUCCCGAUCACAAAGGGUCAGGAGAAGAGACCUGGCUGCAAAAGUCCUUGCCAGGAAAAGGAGGCUUUUAUUGCAUUCUCGGGCUGGAGGAACAUUUUUGGAUAGAUGUGAGAGUGAAAUAAGACACCGGCUGCGUGAGUCAUGGCUCAGCCGUGCUCUCUAUUCCAAGGGGACAGCUGGUGGCACUAACAAAACGUCUCCCUAGAUACAUUGUCUGGCAGCAAUCCCCCUCCUGCUUUUUCCAGCUGUAACUACCAUUACGUGAUAAAUAAAUAAACACGCUGACAGUGAUGUGCAGAGGCAGCUUUCCUUCCCUCGGCCCCCGGGGGCUCUCACCUGUCCCUCUCCUCCCGCUGCAGGACCUCAAUGCCAAGAUCUAAAAGAAAGGGCAGGGAACACCGGUGUCGGCCGCUGCAGGGUUUGUCCUGGAGGGUGCCCGUGUCCCUCUGUGCGGGGUGGCAGCUCCCCGGGAAACCGCGCCAGAGCCGAUGUAAGCCGUGGCGCAGGCGGAGAUAAGCGACGCUCUCCCCUCCGGGAGCCUUAUCUGCUCCCUGGUCCCCAACUCUCACGCACCCCUUGCCACGCUGCCACAGAGCCGGGGAGGCGUCUGUUCUGUUGGCAAGCUGUCCCGUGGAUUCAAAGCCCAACGGGAAGUUCACGACAGCUCCAAGCAGCGCCACCUCCCUCCUGCUGGGUUCCUGCUGCAGUUUUACCGGGAGCAGUUCAAGGGGAAGGUCGGCCCCCGCCGUGCUGCAGGGCCGGCUCCGGGCAAGGGCUGCGCAUCCACAUGCUGCUUCCAGCCGUUGCGUGACCAGGGGCAAGAGCCCCGUCCCGCGGCACCGAUGGGAACCGGGGACCCUCCAGCUUCCCAGGGGCUGAUUUUGGUCCGCG